rnacentral:rRNA from 1 species
UCAGAUUGAACGCUGGCGGCAGGCCUAACACAUGCAAGUCGAACGGUAACAGAACUAGCUUGCUAGUUGCUGACGAGUGGCGGACGGGUGAGUAAUGCUUGGGAAUUUGCCUUUAGGUGGGGGACAACAGUUGGAAACGACUGCUAAUACCGCAUAAUAGCUACGGCUUAAAGGGGGCUUCGGCUCUCGCCUUUAGAGAAGCCCAAGUGGGAUUAGAUAGUUGGUGUGGUAAUGGCGCACCAAGUCAACGAUCCCUAGCUGGUCUGAGAGGAUGAUCAGCCACACUGGAACUGAGACACGGUCCAGACUCCUACGGGAGGCAGCAGUGGGGAAUAUUGCACAAUGGGCGCAAGCCUGAUGCAGCCAUGCCGCGUGUGUGAAGAAGGCCUUCGGGUUGUAAAGCACUUUCAGCGAGGAGGAAAGCUUGGUGGUUAAUACCCAUUAAGUGUGACGUUACUCGCAGAAGAAGGACCGGCUAACUCCGUGCCAGCAGCCGCGGUAAUACGGAGGGUCCGAGCGUUAAUCGGAAUUACUGGGCGUAAAGCGUACGCAGGCGGCCAUUUAAGUCAGAUGUGAAAGCCCCGGGCUCAACCUGGGAACUGCAUUUGAAACUGGAUGGCUAGAGUGCGACAGAGGGUGGUAGAAUUUCAGGUGUAGCGGUGAAAUGCGUAGAGAUCUGAAGGAAUACCAAUGGCGAAGGCAGCCACCUGGGUCGACACUGACGCUCAUGUACGAAAGCGUGGGUAGCAAACAGGAUUAGAUACCCUGGUAGUCCACGCCGUAAACGAUGUCUACUAGCAGCUUGGCGCUUAAGCGCUGUU